rnacentral:lncRNA from 1 species
GCCGGAAGUCCCGUUCUCUGGGGAGCGGGAACCCUGGCGACCCGUGUCAUGGGAGCGGGUUUCUGUUACGUGGGCUUUAGCGCGAGCUGGGCGGUCGGCCCGGUCCCACCGAACUGCAUAGGGCCGUGUAGCCGGGGGAAGUCAGCCCCCUGCUCUGAGAAGCAGACUCUGCAUCUGUAAAAGGCUAAGCGUGCCCACUGGGGCCUGUGGUCAGGAUUGGCUGCAGUGAGGUCCGCAAAGCCCCUACCGCAUCCUGCGCCUUCGUUAGGGUGAGCAGUCAUGGGGACUCGCAUUGUGCCACCACGUAGCGGGUCUCACUGGGUCCGCUUGUCUGCUCGAGGAGACAGCCGGUGAGGACGGGAGCUGGCCUGCUUUGCCCAGGCUGUAACCUCAGCCUCCGCCCAUACCCACAAUCAUCUUCAAUCCAGAGGGUUUUCCUUGUUCCAGGAAACGUCUCACCUCCAUGUGCAGAUUUAAUUUUUACAGAAACUGAAAUUUCCCUCAUUUAUUAUCUAGAUGAGCCCCUAAAAUCUAUUCAAUAAGGUUUGAUCUUUGAUGGAACAGACCAGAGUUGUAUAAUGUGACAGUGGCCCCAAGGAACAGUUUGUAGGAGGAGAUUGUUGUCUUCUCUGAAAAAAACUUCCCAGAAGACAUUGAUGGUUCCCUUAGGUGCCCUGCAGUGGGUCCACUUCCAACAGGCUGAAGCCUGGAUUUGGUGGGUGAGGGUCCUACCUUUUCCUAGAUACCAUUCAGCAUCACUGAAGCCAGUAAACUCACCUCCUGAGGAACCGUUACCAUCUGUACUAUUUACACCCAUGGCAUGAGUCUGCUGCUCAAGACCUUUGAUGAGAAUCUUGAAAAGGAAACCAUGAAUUGCUGGAGAAAAUAUCUUUACACUUAUAUGCAACAGAUGGUCCAUUCCCUCAGUAUUCAAGAAGAAACUCUGGGAUCAUGGAGACCUGGGUGACAAUCACCCUCUGCCCACCCUGCGGGUUUUGGGGGCUUGGAGCUGGUUUUCACCACAAUUCUGUACACCUAAGAGACUGGGCCGUAAGAUCGAGCCUGUAAUUAUCUCACAGGCAUCAGUGAUGAUGUUACGAAUGCAGAUUAUGCCUUCAUGUGGAGAAAGAAACAGUAGGGGCUGAUUAGCCACGAAGAAGUUAAGUACUGGUUUCCACCAUGUCUAUUAAUAAAGAAGGGAAGAAGAGCAAGUACGUGGCAGGGAUGCGUAGCGUGUCCACAUGGAAGCGGAGAGCCUCUCCCUCUCAGAAAUCUGCUUCCCUGACUGCUGUCCUUUUGGUAGUCUCAUAAAAUGGAGACAAGAUUCUCUUCAGCUGUCCUGAGGAGGAAAAAAAAAUAUGACAUAAAAAUAAAUGAGGUAUAAGUAGCUCUUUUGGAAAA